rnacentral:rRNA from 1 species
UACAGAGGUCUCAAGCGUUGUUCGGAUUCAUUGGGCGUAAAGGGUGCGUAGGCGGUGGGGUAAGUCGGAUGUGAAAUCCCGGGGCUCAACCCCGGAACUGCAUUCGAUACUGCCUUGCUUGAGGACUGGAGAGGAGACUGGAAUUUACGGUGUAGCGGUGAAAUGCGUAGAUAUCGUAAGGAAGACCAGUGGCGAAGGCGGGUCUCUGGACAGUUACUGACGCUGAGGCACGAAGGUCAGGGGAGCAAACGGG